rnacentral:tRNA from 1 species
GGGCCUGUAGCUCAAGUGGACAGAGCAACUGCCUUCUAAGCAGUAGGUUCCGCGUUCGAGUCGCGGCAGGCCCG